GAUGAACGCUGGCGGCGUGCCUAAUACAUGCAAGUCGAGCGAACAGACGAGGAGCUUGCUCCUCUGACGUUAGCGGCGGACGGGUGAGUAACACGUGGAUAACCUACCUAUAAGACUGGGAUAACUUCGGGAAACCGGAGCUAAUACCGGAUAAUAUAUUGAACCGCAUGGUUCAAUAGUGAAAGACGGUUUUGCUGUCACUUAUAGACGGAUCCGCGCCGCAUUAGCUAGUUGGUAAGGUAACGGCUUACCAAGGCAACGAUGCGUAGCCGACCUCAGAGGGUGAUCGGCCACACUGGAACUGAGACACGGUCCAGACUCCUACGGGAGGCAGCGGUAGCGAAUCUUCCGUAAUGGGCGGAAGCCUGACGGUGCAACGCCGCGUGAGUGAUGAAGGUCUUCGGAUCGUAAAGCUCUGUUAUUAGGGAAGACCAAAUGUGUAAGUAACUAUGCACGUCUUGCCGGUACCUAAUCAGAAAGCCACGGCUAACUACGUG
rnacentral:rRNA from 1 species